UCAAACUUGGUCAUUUAGAGGAAGUAAAAGUCGUAACAAGGUUUCCGUAGGUGAACCUGCGGAAGGAUCAAUACCGAUGAUGAUGAUGAUGAUGAUAUUUAUUAUUUAAUUCAUUGGAACAGUCUUUUCUGUCUGUCGAGUUGGGAAAUAAAAAAUAUUAUUAAUAGAGCCCAAUCCUGCACUACAAAAAGUGAGUGAGGAUGAAACUAUAGCAUAGUAUUGUAAGUUACCAAGAGAGUAACGAAUAUGGUUUUAUUAUAACUGUUGGCAACGGAUCACUUGGUUCUCGCAUCGAUGAAGAACGCAGC
rnacentral:misc_RNA from 1 species